AUGAUCAUUACUCCUGAGGGGGAAUGGGGCUGGGCGUGGCAGCCUGCUCAAGGGCAGUGGUUCUGGCCGACGGUUCCAGGUGAUACCCAGUGGCGAAUGACCAAGUGGCCAAAUGCUGCACCAGUGCUGCCUCUACUACCAUUAUCUGCCCAGGACCAGAAAAUGGAUAAUCCAGAGAAUGUGGGCCAUAUGGUAGGGAAGGAGUUUGGGAUGUUCUUUGCUCAUGCCACGGCCUUUGUCCUCCUAUUCUUACAGUGUGGAACUCCAGAGUAUAUUGAUCAGCCUCAUCAGAGAUACGAAGAGGCAAUGGAUAGUUAA
rnacentral:rRNA from 1 species